rnacentral:rRNA from 1 species
UACGAAGGGGGCUAGCGUUGCUCGGAAUCACUGGGCGUAAAGGGUGCGUAGGCGGGUCUUUUAAAGUCAGGGGUGAAUCCUGGAGCUCAACUCCAGAACUGCCUUUGAUACUGAAGAUCUUGAGUUCGGGAGAGGUGAGUGGAACUGCGAGUGUAGAGGUGAAAAUUUCGUAGAUAUUCGCAAGAACACCAGUGGCGAAGGCGGCUCACUGGCCCGAUACUGACGCUGAG